rnacentral:rRNA from 1 species
AUUGAACGCUGGCGGCAUGCCUUAUACAUGCAAGUUGAACGGCAGCGGGCCGUUCGGGGUGCCGGCGAGUGGCGAACGGGUGAGUAAUUCAUCGGAACGUACCCGGGCGAGGGGGAUAACCGGCCGAAAGGCUGGCUAUUAUCGCAUGAACUCGGAAGAGCAAAGCGGGGGACCUUCGUGCAUCGCGCUCUCGUCAUCGCCGAUGUCUGAUUAGGCUAGUUGGUGGGGAAAUGGUCCACCAAGGCGACGCUCGGUCGCGGGUCUGAUAGGACGAUCCGCCACACGGGGACUGGGACACGGCCCAGACUCCGACGGGAGGCAGCAUAGGGGAAUCUUGGACAAGGGGCGAAAGCCGGAUCCAGAAAUGCCGGGUGGGGGAAGAAGGCCUUCGGGUGGUAAAGCCCGUUCGGCGAGGAAGAAAUCGGUCAGGCGAAUAGUCUGGCCGGAUGACGGUACCCGCAGAAGAAGCACCGGCUAACUACGUG